rnacentral:rRNA from 1 species
GGUUAACGGGGGAUUAGGGUUCGAUUCCGGAGAGGGAGCCUGAGAAACGGCUACCACAUCUAAGGAAGGCAGCAGGCGCGCAAAUUACCCAAUUCUAACAGUUUGAGAGAGGUAGUAACAAGAAAUAACAAUACAAGGCAGUUAAAAUGCUUUGUAAUUGGAAUGAUAGAAAUUUAAACCCUUUUUAAAGUAUCAAUUGGAGGGCAAGUCUGGUGCCAGCAGCCGCGGUAAUUCCAGCUCCAAUAGCGUAUAUUAAAAUUGUUGCAGUUAAAAAGCUCGUAGUUGAAGUUCUGCURAAAGUAACCGGUCUGCUUUUAAUAAAAGUGGUAUCUUGGUAUGUAUUUAGCAAUGAUGUCCUUUGAAGUGUUUUUUACUUUAUUGUAAUAAAGCAUAUUCAGGACUUUUACUUUGAGAAAAUUAGAGUGUUUCUAGCAGGCUGACGCUUUGAAUACUGCAGCAUGGAAUAAUAAGAUAGGAUUUUAGUUCUACAUUAUUGGUUUUAAGAGCUAAAUUAAUGAUUGAUAGGGACAGUUGGGGGCAUUUGUAUUUAACUGUCAGAGGUGA